CUAGUCAGAUAAAACUCCGCGGGUUCUUAGUGGUUGUCUGCUCACAAGCUGAGUCAUAAGGGGAAUUGGAUGGCAGGCUAAGGUACGGCCACCCGUUGACAAGGUAUUUGCUCUCAUGGUUUCAUGGAAAGGAUUGUAGCACGAUAGAAUAAGAGGGAUUUAAGUGCCAUGUCUACUAGCGUCCACAGCCUUAUGCUUAGCCUAGAAUUGGUGCACUUUAUUUUUGGAAGAGAUAUGAGAAAGAGAAGGAGAGACGUGGCCCGGCUCAUCGCAUGUUGUUCCAAAGGUAUUGAUGGACCAAAUCUACAACUUAAUCAUGCUGUUUUUGGUUGGUCACACUUUCGGUGUUAGCACGUGGACUCUGGGUGGAUUUAGGCAUUAAAGGUGCCCCCAAAAGUUAAAAUAUUUCUCUGAAAGCUCGUGUGGGAUAGACUUCAGUGCAGAGUUUUGCUGGCAUACUAUAAUAUUAUUGCUACAAACACCCAGUUUUACGAUCUAUGCCUGGAUCAAAUUAAGAAUUGUGCUUAUGUGAUCAUACAUUGUGACUUUGCACGAAUUUUUGGCAGCAGAUAAGUUGCAUCUAUGGGCUGAA